GUCUAGGGCCAUGCCACCCUGAACAAGCCUGAUCCCGUCUGAUCUCGGAAGCUAAGCAGGGUCGGGCCUGGUUAGUGCUUGGAUGGGAGACCACCUAGGAUGACUAGGUGCUGUAGGGG
rnacentral:rRNA from 1 species